AAGAUACUGCUCCGAGACGCGCUGAUAGUCAUACCCCGGGUGGUUCCCAAAUCAUACCCCACAUCCUCCCUGCACCCGCGGGGGUUUCCCAACACCNACCCNACCACGCANCCACCCACACCACGACACACGCACAUNACCGCCACACGCACCACAUCCACAGACACACACACCCCNACCCACCCNCCCCACCACACCACNCCCACCCCCCCACCCAACCUCCCCGNAACCGCNCCACACCCGCAACCGCNCACCACCACACACCCACACCACACACGCGCACCGACGAACAACAA
rnacentral:rRNA from 1 species